UACGUAGGGUGCUAGCGUUGUUCGGAAUCAUUGGGCGUAAAGCGCGUGUAGGUUGUUAGUUAAGUCUAUUGUGAAAUCCCCUGGGCUCAACCCAGGAAGUGCAGUGGAAACUAGCUAGCUAGAAGAUGGUAGAGGAAGGUGGAAUUCCAAGUGUAGAGGUGAAAUUCGUAGAUAUUUGGAGGAAUACCUGAGGCGAAGGCGGCCUUCUGGACCAUUCUUGACACUGAGACGCGAAAGCGUGGGUAGCAAACAGG
rnacentral:rRNA from 1 species